CGGCUUCGCCACCGAGGUCGGUAGCGGCCCGGAGCCGGGGUCGUGAGUCCAGCGGCGCCGCUGUCACGGGCGCCUGCCGCACGCGGAGGGCCGCAGCGCCGGUGGUGCGGUGCGGCACGAAGCACGGGCGCGCAGCGCCUCACAAGAGAACAGCAUUAAGCCAGACAGGUACCCGUGUCACUACCAGGAUGAUUGGACACCCGGCCACUGUUGAGGUCCCUGUCUCAUUUGCAAAAGAUCUGUCUUCCUCUAACAAAAUUUCUUAAAUGGAAAUAUGUGAAGUGUGUAAAUCUUGUUAAAAUGGAGAUUCUGGAAUCCUCUGAGGACCACUGUGAGCUGUGAGUGUCUGCAGCAUUUUGUUGAUAAUGAUGCUGAAGCUGGUGGCCAGUGAUAGUACUGAACCCUUCAGCUGUGUCUGCCAUGGUGCUGGGAAAGGAACAGCGACACCCUGGUGACAUGGGUUUAACAUCUCAGACAAUGGCUCUUGGUUCAGCCUAUCAGCCCCAUUUCUAUCUGGAACACCAGGACUUAUGUCAGCUCCUCACUGUGUCCCUUUACCUACCGGGGGAGGUGAGGUGAUCUCUGUGAGUAUGAAACAGCUCACCUAUCUGCCUUCAGCAAGCCUUAGCCACGUGAUGCAAACUUGCUGUCUUCUGUGGAUGGAGUGGGACUGACAUCCAAGCCAUCAUGGUGUGAACAAAACUCUGGAUGUUUGGUGGACAUCAGUCUGUGAUUGCUUGGAUAUUUUGUUUCUUUUCAAAUCCAGAUGUUGUUCUCCCAUGCUCUGGUGAUGCUGGAGCCCAGCCUUGAAGCAUAGAGGGUUCUUUCCUCUCUUCUUCUGAGUUCUGACUCUGACCCUGCUACUCCUGGCGCAACUCAUAUGGACUGAGGAGAUGUGAUGCACAGUGACCGGUGUUCACCUGUGAACCUUCCUCUUGCUUCCCAGGUGGCUACCUUUGGCAGCCAGUCAGUGCCACAUAGGCCAGUUUUAGCCCUGUGACUGUGACUUGGUGACUUACAUGUCCCUGAGUCUUACAGACUCAGGCCUGGAAUUUGUUGAUGUACUAAAUUAUUAACAGUAGCACUAUUACUAUCAAUAAACUCAGUAAUGAAA